AGACGAGGAGGUGGAAAAAGUGAAGUUGCUGAGGUUCUUUUUCUUUCUUUUCUUUUUCUGCUUUCCUGCAUGUAGAAGGUUAGUGUAAACCAAGUGAUGAAAUCGCUGAUCUUUGCCUUCUUGUUCCUUGAAAAACCUUGUAUAGGUGGCAUACUUCUAACCCUUAAGAUGUGCAAUCUGUAUGCAGUAACUGCCAGUGCCCUUAUUAGAUGAUCUAAAAGGAAUAGAAAUACAAGGAAGUCUGGAUGAUACACGAGGAGGAUACACCCACCAUGCUGAGGAUGGCCUGCCAGUGAAAUCUGGUUGAAAGCAGAAAAGUGCCUUGGAGGAGUCUAAACAGAGGAAGAUCAUUGUGGCCAACAGUUGGUUAAGAAGAAACACGUUCUCCAGACAAAAAAGAAAAAAAAUGCAGUUGCAUAUCUGAAGACUUUGUCCUUUUCCUUUCAGCACAGAGCUUUAACCAUUUCAGGCCUGAAGUCUUAUGUGUGGUGAGAGCUCAAGCUGCUUUAGUGUUGUUAUUUUUUCAAUUCACAUUGCCUUUUCAUGUUCCCUGAAGAAAAUAUGUAUGUGCCUGCUCUAUCUCUGAGAAUCUAGUUUUGGAGUCCCCAUAUUCAUUUAUCCACAUUUCUACCAUUCCCAGCAAUUUUUUAAUGAAAAAAAAAAAAAAAAGGGUAAAAUUGUUACUGUUUUUUUAUUUAUUAAGACAUUUGUAAAUUUUCAGUUCAAUCCUUUGUGAAAGCAUUUGAAAAUUUGUGUAUGUAAGGUUGUGACUAAUGAAGUUAUUCAGACAAAAAAUGUCUCAGAAUAGAAGGUAUAGAUCCUCUUGGGACACAAAACUAAUUCUGUUUCAUAAACUAACACAGCACAGUAUCAUCAGGUCACUGUUGCCGAGUGUUACUGUAUGUUGAUCAGUUAUACAGAAGGAAUGUGAAUAUUGCAUCUUGAGAGAAGUAGCUGAAGGGUAUGUUCUACUUAUCCUUACUCUUAGAAGAAGGUAUGGAGAAGUAAGUUUGUCAUUGUCAUUGCCUUCUGAAAGGGACUUGGUGCAGUGUUAUUUGUGUUCUUAGCAAAUGCGUUCCUUAGAACUUUUUUUUUUUUUUCUGUUAAAAAACCAUGGUGAUAGAGGACAAUCCUCAUGCUGACAGCUUUCUCAGAUCAGUAGGACAAUGUGCCUUGCAGUUUCUGGUGGUGAGAUUAGCCUGCAGUAUGGACUAAUACUUGACAGAAAACGAUCAUCAGUAGCAAUUGUGGUAGGCAGUAGAGGAGGGAGGGCUUGAGUAGGGAGAUUCAACAACCCAAUUUCCAGACAAAGUUAAAACUCUUUUUAGGGAAAGAUCCAAACACGGAUGACAGUAACAUUUCCACCAUGACAAUAGCGAGGAUUAGCAUUCCCUGGCAGCUAUUUGUUUUGAUAUUAUGAAUAUAUGGGAAUUAUAGCUGUUUGGCAAACUGUGCAGAGAACAAUUAUUGCUGAAUGAUAAAAAUAACAUAAAUCCAAGAAAGGUGAUUGGAAUCUAAUUUUACUUUAAAACUGGUCCUCUUCUAACUUGAUAAAUUGAAUCAACUAUUAAUAACACAGUGACCUGCUGAGUUAUUAAGCCUAUCUAAGGGAUUUACUCUCAGAAAGCAAUGUUCCAACAGAAUAAGCAAAACUUUCAGACUGUGGGUUUUUGGCUGUUUAUGAACUUAUGGAUUCUUCACUGGAAGCAGGGAGAAGAUAUAUGCUGCGAUCUCACUUUGAUAUGAUGUUCAGGGUGAGUUUGGUUAUACAUCAGAUGCUAGAAAGUAGAAAUGACUCCACUUUUGAACUGAUUCAUGUGCCUGAGUUUAUUUGUUAAUCAUAGUCUCCUUAUAAUUUGUUCACAGAGCUGAUCCAACAGAAAUUAAAGUGGUUGUUUAGUACUCAGCACUCAUUCACUGCAUGUCAGAUAAACAGUAGUGCUAGCAUGAGGACAGUGGUGGGAGUACUUGGCUGCACGUUAGAGCUAGAUUUUCUUAGCUGAGCUAUGAAAUUACAUCUUAAUUAUUUUAUACACAUGUAUGCAUAUAUAUUGAUACAAAACUACUAACAACUUUUAAGCAAACAGCAGUAUUGGUAGAACUGGACAUUAGAUGGUUAUAGCUUCUCUGACUUUACAAUCAUCCUGUGUUUUUUCCAUUUUGUUAUUUUCUUCCUAUUCUCCCCAGUGGCUAGAAUAUUUCCUGGUGGUGUGGCUGAACCAGUAAUAUCAUGUCCUAAGACAAGUGUGGGGACAAAGAGAUAGUUUUGUGCCAAAGCCAGCAGGCGAUUGUUGAAGAUAGGCAGGCAUUUGAAGGCUGUGUCUUUAAGAAUGGUGCUGUGCAGGUGAUGGUACCAGGGAAGCCCUAGCAUGCCUCUAUAUCUCUAAAAAAGAGGGCACAGUACAAAACUCAAAUACUGGUACAUCAACUAGCCAUAUUACCUAACAGCUAGCUUGCUAACUGCUCUAAUUUGGACCACUCCAUCCCAUUACUAAUGCUAUGUUAAAGUGUCAGUUGUGCUGGCACAUGCCAAUACAGCAUUUAUUUAGCAAUAUAAACAUAGCUUGUGUGAUUUAGAGAAAAUCUGGAAAAAAAUACUUGACAUAUCCCAAGGCGUCAAUUUAAUCACCUCUCAUGUUCUCUCUGGUGAGCCAGCCACACAGCUCAGCGUGUGGGGCUGGCAUAAAGACUCCCUUCUCCAAAUCUGGGCACUGAUGUGAAUAAGUCUUGUCCUGCCCUGAGGUCAUGAGAUCUCAAUUCUCCAUCUAUGAGGAGGAUGGGUUCUUGGUGAGGAUCCAAGCACAGCCAGGCCCAAUUUAUGUAUGCAGAGAAAGAGUUUGUUGCUCAGCAAUUAGUUAAUACUCCUGGCAUUCAAAUGACAUUUACAAUCAAACCAGUGAAUCUGGAUGAAGUUUGGGAUCAGAUCAUGGAAUUUCUUUCAAAGAUUUUCUUUUUUUCAGUCAAAUCAGCUACUGAAAAAAACUGAAGUUUUACCAAGCCUGAGCUGAAGCCUUGGGAGUCACAGUAUGCAUCCUUUCAUAUUAGGUACUUCUGUGCUUAACCAGCAAUCCUCUCACACUUAGAUCAGUAAGGAGGACAUGACCCCAAGAAAAUUAAAACGUCAGAGUCCUCACUGGUCUUUGGAGACACAGAUCUUUAAGAUAAAGGCAUCUCUAAACAGUGGAAGUGCUAAAAAAUUUGAAACAUUAUUAAAGUUUGUCUAUUGUUUUUUGUUUCUUUUGUAAACUGCUUGGAUAGCACUGCAUGAAAAAGCUGACUUUGGUUUAAUUGAUACAUGGCAGAAGGCAGUGUUCCUUUGAUGUUACUUUAAUUACAGCAAAAGGAAAAACAGCAAUAGCAGAAAGUACUUGAGUAGUAAUUUCAGCAGGUACAUCAGCAGUAAUACAAAAUUUAAUUCUUGCUUAUCAUUGUUAGCAGGGGGGAGAUUGUUCCUUCAGUUCUUUGCAGUGAAUCACCAGAUUAUCACAAAUCAGUCUCAUAAGUGCUAUUUUGAUAUCAUGAACUUGAGAGACCAGCAAUUUUCUUAUGUGCUCUUUACCUCCUCUCUUAGAAAUGGUUCUUUUCAGUGGUUAACUGGAGAAAUUAUACUACACUCCCUUGGUCUUACCAUAGAUAUUAUUUAUAGGGAGCAAUAUUUCCCUACGUGCACAGUGAAGUGAUGUUCAACCGCAUGUCAUCAGGAAGAUUAUAAUGGUAGCCAUACUAAUUUCUGUGAAAUAGUGAAAGGGAAACAAGAAACUUGAGAUGAAUCUAGAGGUCAGAAAUGUUAAUUAAUUUUCCAUGUUAAAAGGUUGUUCAUCUAGAAAGGAUAGUAAUUGUUGCUGAUUGAUGGAUGCAAGAAAGACAGUAUCUUUUCAAGAGUCAUUUGCUUAUCCUUUUUCUUUAUGAGCCAAACACUUAUGCCUGAUGAGAAGAAGAACAGAAUAGUCACUAGAGCUGAGCAUUAAAUAAUGAGGGUAUGUUACAGAUUACAUAUUUUGGAGAUAAGUUGUUCAAUUUUCUCCAAGCUGACUUCCAAAUUUGUCUUCAUGGCAGUAGUAAGGAACUUUCUCAUGCUCUUCACUCCCGUGUGGACAUUCCUUCUACUUCUGUAUAACAGGAUGGCAUUCUAUAGCUGGUAUGAGGUUUGCCCUCUUGUUAUAUGGUGACUGACAACAUUCUCUGGCAUCAGAUGAUAAAAGCAUGGCAACUGAAGUGAUAUCAUGAAAGAGGUGGAUCAGAAUAUAUUUGACAGAUAAAUAUCUGCACUGUGGGUAGGAUUCAAGUAUCAAGGUGACAACAGUGCACACAGAGAGGGGAAUCUGAUCUCUUGAGUUUGUCCAUAAGUAUUCCCUUUCCUGAUAUAUAAAUGAAAAAUGAGACUGUAGACGACUGAAGGAAGAAUUUCUGUAUAGGCAUAACCCUCUAAAAUGAAUCAUCAUUGACAAAGCUCUGAUGAUGAAAUACACAGUUCUGUUCAAUGCAUGUAACCCAGUUUUCACCAAUUUUAUGCUUUUUAAGUGGGAAUUACAUCCUUCUGCCUCUAGGCAUACCUGUGAAAUUAAGCAAUGCAGUUAGAGUUACAGGACGCAUUCACUGGUGGGUUACAAUCAAGAUAAAGCUUGGAUCCUAUGGUGGUCUUCAGAUUGUAAAGUCUAUGGAUCACUCUCCUAAGAAUCUAAGAAAUUGAAUCAUUAAAAGGUUUUUUUUUUUUUUUUAGUAGGUUUAAAUUCACCUUGUAUCUGUACUGGGAGAUGUAUAGAGGUCUGCAUUAAAAACGGCUGAAACUAAACUGCACUAGUUUGGUAUAUAAAAGGAAGGAAAGAGGGAUGAUAAAAGGAUGUAUUUCAAAGCAUUAGUUGUAAAAUUUGUCCCUAUAUUGGAAACAGAAAAGUACACUGUUUGGAAAGAUGAUGGUUGUGUUUUCAUGGGUAUCGGAAGAUCUAGUGGCUCAGCCUCCAUUUGUUAAACAAAAUGAAGAUUUCAGAGAGAAUACAAGGCUUUCUGGAGGGUAAGGAAGGGAGAAAAAGGCUCAUUGCUGGCCAUUGUAGGCCCAACUAAGAAAUAACUGCUGAGAUUCAGCCACAUGGUGUUUGCAGUAUAAUUAAUUCAUUCAAGCCUUGGAGAAGUGCCUUUGCUAUUUUUAAUCUAAAUGAAUCCCUUCAACCAUUAGGUUACAAUGUGGUAUUUUGGGAAUGUUUGAUUUCUUUUUAAUUUUAAUUUUUAUUUUUUUUAAUAUCUUGCGCACUUUCCUGAACCCCCAGGUAUAUGGCUUCGCUGCUGUGGUUUAGUAAUGAAUGAAAACUGUUAACCUGGCAGCAGCACUGCCCUGGAGGUGCCUGAACUAAGGCAAAGCUAAGGCUUCUCCCGCCAGGCAGAGCAGGGCUCACUCAGCAUCCUGCAGUCCCUCUUCUGGUGAGCGUAUGAACAACUAUUUCAGGGGCUGAGGAGACAUUCCCUUUGUCUUUUCCCGAUACUCUUUGCAAACUGUUCUGUUUUCUGCAUUUCCUCUUAUCACUAGGUGCUUUAAUUAACCAGAAUUGAAAAGGCUCUAGAUUUAAUAUCUCCUUUUAAGAAAGGAAGAGAGGGUGUUAUUCCUCAACAUUAAUAAUAGCUUUGUCAGAAUAUCACGAUGUAGAAAAUAAGUAAAUAUUAAAUGUAGCUAAAAUGCAGUAAAAUAACAGUAUCCUACCAAGCUAGUAGACAAACUUUUUAAAUGAAUUAAAUACUUCUGUUCUUCCAUAUAUGUACAACUUGUUUCUCUGUACUAGAAAACAUUUGUGUUCUACAUAUUCUUAUUUGAAUGACAUACAACUCUAUGUUCAGGUAUCUCUGAACCUCUGUUUUCUACUUUUAGCUUUAGAUAUCAAAGUUCCUAAUUGAAUUUCUGAGAGAAUUUUCUUAUCAUAUUAUGGUCUUCUAUUAACCUUUCUCAUUUCUCUCAGAUGCAGUAUCUAUUCUUUGCUUGCCAGUGGCUGGAAUAUAUUUUCCAUUUACUCUUGAGAGGUCUGAGUACGGUAAGAAGUGUAUGGAUUCCAUUAACGUUAAUACUUCAAUCACUUUAUUAACUUUUUUCUUUCACUUUUUACUUUUUGAUCCUUUUCCAGAUGGAGGUGAACAAUGCAUAUCUGCUUAAUCAAAAUCAGGCUUAAUCAAUUCUGGUUUUUUAGUGUCUAUAUAUACGUACAGAAAAAGCAUGCUUCACUCUCUGUGUUGGAGAAAGAAAAAUCUUAGGGAGUAGUGUUUAAACAGAUUGUAGUGAUGUAGGAACUGAAAUUCAUACUAUACCGUAAAACUGUAAUAAGAUGUUAUACUAUUAAAAUAUUGCCUUAAAAAUUCUCUGCUUGGGAGAAAAUCUUGAUCUUGACCCACAAAACUUGAGAACCUCAAUUACAUUUGAUUUAUGUCAGCACUUGGUUUAUCUUUUCUGUAACACUCAGAACACAUACGUAUAUAUACUUAGAAGAUAUAAACUGCAAUGUCACUGAAUCCAUACUGAACACUAAAGGAAAAAUCCUGAGCUUAUUUAAUAAAGGACUGAGCUGUACUCUGUUCCCUAUGUCUUAUGGAAGAACAUAGAGUUCAUCUCAACCAGCUAACAAAUUCUGAAAAUAAAAAGCCAUUGUACAUGUAAAAGCUGUAGAGUAGACAAGGUAAAUGUUUAGCACAGUAGAAAUGCUUACCUAAGACAUUUAAACAUUAUGGACAUUUCUUAACCAUAACCACCUGACAGACUGAGGCUACAGGGUUUAUAUGUGAGUUUAAAUCAAUACACUGAUAUACCAAUAUGAUAGUCUGCCAUGACAGCUGCGCCCCAAAAGUGGACACAUGGUAUUUAAGUACUUGUGCAAUAGAAGUUCUUAUUGUUGGCAAAGGCUGGCAUCUAAGUUGACGUCAAAAGAUCUUGCCCUUCUGUGAAUACAAGGAAAGAUCUUCCUUUCUCUUUCCUAUCACUUUGUACAUACGAAUUUGUUCUCACACCCCUUGCCUUUGAUGUUUCAUACCUUCUAAAAAGAAUGUAGUCAUUCACAAGGUCUUAACUACUCAAGGCCAUAAACACUGCAUUUUAGACUGUUACCCUUCAAGUCUUUGAGCUACCUCCAACUCAACAUUAAUUUUCCUGGGUUACUCGCCUUGAGUUAAUUAGUUCUCUCUACUGUCUGCCCACAUCUUUGAUUUGUUUUAGAGAUUUUCUUACUUGUACAGAAAAAGAUUUCUUCUUGCUGCAUGCAAGAGAAGUGAAAUAAUGGCCUGCAAUAUUCUGCAAGUUUAUUAAUUCAGGAAGUUGGAAAUCAUAUUGUCAUUCUCCACAGGGAAACCUAUUAUUAUUAUCACCAUUAAGUACUGAUUAAAUAUACAUUGUCCUUGUAUAAAUAUAUUAUGCUAAUAAUCCUUCCAUGAUCUUAUAAUACUUCAGGAUAAUUCCAAAACCAACCUAUGUAGAAAAUCCCAUUUUUUUUUUUUUUCAAUAGACCAUGUACUGAUUUUCCUCUACAUAGGCCACCAGAUCACAAAUAUAGGAAAGAGAUAGUGAAGCUAGGGCCAAGCUUUGGAUUUGCAGUAUUUUUCAUUAAAACCAUAUGAACAUCAAGCAGUUUUUAGGGAGACUCGCAUCAGUACAGCUAGUACAGUAUAAUCUGUAGACAAACAUGAAUUAAUAGCACUGAAACUUGGGCUAACUGCUGUUUCUCCUGCCAUACUUUCACUCAACCAUCUCAAAACUGCUAACUUCAUUGACCAAUUUUUGUAGCUCAUGUUGCCAAAGGAUGCAUUUUUUACCAGAGCCUGAGCUACUUGAAAGCUUUUUCACAUUUCUUUGAACCUCCCAAAUAACUGCAAGGUAGAGAUGCUCUCACUCAGGCAUAAUGUAUUCAAAUAUGGUACAGGUAUUUGUAUGGAAUAAUGUCUGUGUGUAACAUCCAGAGGAUUCGCCUUGAAAUCAGUCUCUGGAUAGAUAACAGCCUUGGAAAGAAUAAUGAGCCUUGUAAGAGUUAAGAACAUUGAUUUUACUGUGGCUAUUGAGAUUUUAACACUACAUCUUGGUUUGCUGAUGACUGGAAUGCAGUGAUAUAAACAACUUGAGGAGGACAUAUUAACUAUGUGCAAUGAAGGUUAACAUUUAAAAUAGAGACAGAAGUGUUGUGCAUUUAUAUGAAAGUUCAAGUGCAAAACAUAUAUUCGUGAAAAAUGCAAGCAAGCAGAGAUAAUUUAAAUAACACAUGGAAAUAGCAUCAGGAUCAAUUUACAUCUACUCUUCUUCAGCCAAAUAAAAUCAUGUUGUAUCAUUUGAGGAGAGUUACAUGGCUUUGCGCAUGCUAUUCACUCCUUUUGAGACAUAUGUUUUCAACACUGUUGAUGUAUUAGUGAAGUGCAAAAUUCUUCUCUGCAAGAAUAUUUUUUCAGUUUCUUUUCAGUGAUAGAACACUGAAGACUCAUUUUCCAUUUAAAAUAAUGUACACAGAAUGACAUGAAAAGCACAGAGUAACAUUUAACUUUGAAAUAUUCAUUUUUUCUGUAAUAUUUACGGUGUAACAGAGAAGCAUCUUGAGACCCAUGCCAUUAUUUUUUCUUAAGAUGAAACAGACUGAUAUAAAGCUCAGGAAGCUGGGAAUAAAUUCAUUUUGAAGAAUGAAGGCAGCUGUGUAAAAUGUUUAAAGAAAUAAUUAUUUAUGGUCCCUUUGGAUAAGUUGCAUCCAAUUUGAUUUUUAUUUUUUCUAAGAAGGAAUUUGAGGAAACCGUUUGUUUUCACCUGAAUUAAUGACAGACCUGCAGCAAGGCAAAAUAAAAUAAAAUAAUUAAUAUCCCAUACUUCCUGAAUGUGAUGAUGUGAACAUGCAUUAAGCAAAACAAGCCCAGGAAGGCAAGCUGUUCUCUGCAAUGGAAACUAUUCCAGUGAAGGGGUGAGAAUGCUACAGGUGUGCCAAACUGGGCUGCAGGUAAGUCUCUAAUGGAGUUGUACAAAAAGUGCACAAAUGGGUACUAUUUAUAUUUUGUCUCUUUGUUUCUUGGUUGGUUUUUUUUUCCUUUCCUUGUUUGUUUUUUGCUCAUAUUUGUUGGCAUUUUUAGCAGAUAGAACUCUUGGUCCAAUACUUAUUAUUAUGCCAUUUCAGGCUUGGUGCAAACAGAGCCCCAUGCUAAUCCUUUAAUAUUUCUGAAAUUAAAUAAGACUUCAGUAAGCUCAAUGAUUUUUUUCUUGAAGAUGAACUGUGAUUGAGAAUCAUACCAACCUUCCUCACAUCUCUAUGGAGGAAUUCCUGCUGGACAAAUAACUCAUAAAAACAAACAAAAAAACAAAUAGUUUAGGAUAUGAUAAUUUUAGGUUCCUGUUAAACCACUUCUUGUAAGAAAUGGGAAGCAAAUGAAAGAAAGGAGAGAAAUUACGUGAAGAGUUAAAAAUAGGAGUUAUGUGGCUUAACAAAUUAAAAAAGCAAUACCAAAAACCUAUGACCUCUGUCUCCCUGACACUAGGGUCUGAGCUGAGGUGAGGUCUUCAGCAGCAAGAUCUACCAGUGGAGACUGAAGAGCACCCAAGCUCAACCUCAAUUAAGAGUAACAUAAGUUCCCUCUUUUCAAAUAGUCUUGAUGUUUCAUAAGAUCUAGCUCAUGGCACACUUUGUGUGUGGUGGGUUUGAAUAACACUGCCCAGAGCUUUUGGGUAACACAGCACUUGCUCUGUAGGCAGCAGCCCAGGACUUGCUAGCAGCCACUCAGCUGUUCUCUCCUGUCUGCUACCCAGAUGCUCACAAGUACAAUGCUGUGUUAACACAACCUAAUUAUCUGCCAUGUGCAACUAUUUAUACAUUCUUGCUGUGUUAGAGAGAUAUGAGGGCAGCUUCCCUUUCCUUAAAAAUCCCUUUGCACUUACUGGCAUUUUUGACUCAGUGUUGAGGAAAUUAAUAUUAAAAUGUAGCCCUUGUUUCUCUCCAUUUAGAGCACGGUCUUGCAUGUAAAAAAGAAAGCAUGCUUUGGAUUCCCUUAGUGAGUCAUCUCUGUUUCACUGGUGAUUCAUUUCUUGAAAAGAGAGGAACGAAAAUCUGGCCUGCUAAACACCAAGUGCCAUCUAUUUAUCUUUCUGUUUAUUUAUUUUAGCCCAGGGCACUUUCAAAGCAUGCCACUGCAGGAAUGCGGCUGGGCUGAGGGCUGCUGAAGCUGCUUUUUUUGUGUCUCUGCAGUAUGGAACUGAGAUGAAAUGGAGAACCCAUAUUCACACAAACUCUCUUCCAC